GGAGACGUGGCCGAGUGGUCGAAGGCGCUCCCCUGCUAAGGGAGUAGGCCCGGAAGGGUCUCGUGGGUUCGAAUCCCAUCGUCUCCGCCA
rnacentral:tRNA from 30 species